GUUGUUGGGUAGGGGAGCGUUCUGUAAGCCGUUGAAGGUGGCCUGUGAGGGUUGCUGGAGGUAUCAGAAGUGCGAAUGCUGACAUAAGUAACGAUAAAGCGGGUGAAAAGCCCGCUCGCCGGAAGACCAAGGGUUCCUGUCCAACGUUAAUCGGGGCAGGGUGAGUCGACCCCUAAGGCGAGGCCGAAAGGCGUAGUCGAUGGGAAACAGGUUAAUAUUCCUGUACUCGGUGUUACUGCGAAGGGGGGACGGAGAAGGCUAUGUUAGCCGGGCGACGGUUGUCCCGGUUUAAGCAUGUAGGCGGGAAGUUUAGGUAAAUCCGGACUUCUUUUAACGCUGAGGUGUGAUGACGAGGCACUACGGUGCUGAAGUAACAAAUGCCCUGCUUCCAGGAAAAGCCUCUAAGCAUCAGGUAACAACGAAUCGUACCCCAAACCGACACAGGUGGUCAGGUAGAGAAUACCAAGGCGCUUGAGAGAACUCGGGUGAAGGAACUAGGCAAAAUGGUGCCGUAACUUCGGGAGAAGGCACGCUGAUGGUA
rnacentral:rRNA from 1 species